GUAGGGAAUCUUCCGCAAUGGACGAAAGUCUGACGGAGCAACGCCGCGUGAGCGAAGAAGGCCUUCGGGUCGUAAAGCCCUGUUGUAAGGGAAGAACAAGCGCCGGUUAACUGCCGGCGCCCUGACGGUACCUUACCAGAAAGCCACGGCUAACUACGUGCCAGCAGCCGCGGUAAUACGUAGGUGGCAAGCGUUGUCCGGAAUUAUUGGGCGUAAAGCGCGCGCAGGCGGUCUUUUAAGUCUGAUGUGAAAGCCCACGGCUCAACCGUGGAGGGUCAUUGGAAACUGGGAGACUUGAGUGCAGAAGAGGAAAGCGGAAUUCCACGUGUAGCGGUGAAAUGCGUAGAGAUGUGGAGGAACACCAGUGGCGAAGGCGGCUUUCUGGUCUGUAACUGACGCUGAGGCGCGAAAGCGUGGGGAGCAAACAGGAUUAGAUACCCUGGUAGUCCACGCCGUAAACGAUGAGUGCUAAGUGUUAGGGGGUUUCCGCCCCUUAGUGCUGCAGCUAACGCAUUAAGCACUCCGCCUGGGGAGUACGGCCGCAAGGC
rnacentral:rRNA from 1 species